CCGCGACAGUGAUAUUAUUACGUAAACCAGGUGAGCAUUUUUGUGAGAAGUAUUCAGAUAGGACCAAGGUCAGUAGGAAGAGGAAGAAGUUUCAUAUGCCACAUCGCCACAAUAUCCACUCUUAGACUGAAAUUUUGGCACUGAGAACUGAUGUAGUUUGUUAAGGAAAUUAUUUGCUCACAAAGAAGUGAGAAGAUUAUCCCAGCGUCCAAAGGUCUUAAAGCGUUAUUCCGACUUGAACAAAGCAUGAAGACAAAGCAGAGGGAACACUUUUGCCAAUAAAUAAGAAAUAUCAUUCCAGCUGUCCGCAGUCUGGUUGGGUUAUUCGGGCUAAAACAAAGAAAGACAACU